GACAAGAACCCCGGCGAGGGGAGUGAAAAAGAACCUGAAACCGUGUACGUACAAGCAGUGGGAGCCCCACCACCAAAGCAUUCUCUGGUGUUGAAGGCCCUGCAAAGCAGCAUCGCGGUGGCGGAGCGUCGUUUGCGACGCCCAACACACAAAACAAGCGGUGAGUGCUUUGGGGUGGGGUGACUGCGUACCUUUUGUAUAAUGGGUCAGCGACUUAUAUUCUGUAGCAAGGUUAACCGAAUAGGGGAGCCGGAGGGAAACCGAGUCUUAAUUGGGCGUUAAGUUGCAGGGUAUAGACCCGAAACCCGGUGAUCUAGCCAUGGGCAGGUUGAAGGUUGGGUAACACUAACUGGAGGACCGAACCGACUAAUGUUGAAAAAUUAGCGGAUGACCUGUGGCUGGGGGUGAAAGGCCAAUCAAACCGGGAGAUAGCUGGUUCUCCCCGAAAGCUAUUUAGGUAGCGCCUCGUGAAUUCAUCUCCGGGGGUAGAGCACUGUUUCGGCUAGGGGGCCAUCCCGGCUUACCAACCCGAUGCAAACUGCGAAUACCGGAGAAUGUUAUCACGGGAGACACACGGCGGGUGCUAACGUCCGUCGUGAAGAGGGAAACAACCCAGACCGCCAGCUAAGGUCCCAAAGUCAUGGUUAAGUGGGAAACGAUGUGGGAAGGCCCAGACAGCCAGGAUGUUGGCUUAGAAGCAGCCAUCAUUUAAAGAAAGCGUAAUAGCUCACUGGUCGAGUCGGCCUGCGCGGAAGAUGUAACGGGGCUAAACCAUGCACCGAAGCUGCGGCAGCGA
rnacentral:rRNA from 1 species